GUGUGUGUUGCGAUCGUACAGGAGAAGGGAGCAAGGGGGUGUGAACCCUAAACCUCAAGAAAUCAUCAAAUUAAAAGGGAAAUUGAAGGCUAGUUGACUGCAUGAACUAAGAAUGGUGAUCACCUAAGUAUUUCCUACAUCAAGAUAGGAACCCCAAAUUGACAUGGACUCAAGUAUGGAAGGCUAACAGAUCAAGAGGAAAUGAGGAAGUUAUGCACAAACUUGGACGCACGAGGUUUAUGAAUGUCGGACUUUCGAAGUGUUGAUAUAGUAAUGAAACGGAUGAAUGUUCAAAGGAUAAUCAGGUUGAAGUAACUUAUGUGGUUAGGAUAUGCUAUGGACGUUUUAGUUUAUACAAUAUUUUGUGCUUGGUCGUCAUCAUCUACUAACGGGUGAGUUGUAUGAAAAUAUAUGUCAUACCCAUUUAAUUGGGUAAUCGAAUGCGUAAGAGAAAUGAAAGUACAUACACGAAUGGAACUAAAAUGAUGGUUUUAUAAGCAAAUAAGUAUAUUGACUAACUUUUUAAAGCUUUGUUGUUGAAUGUAGGUAAAUCCUCAAUUUAGGCGACUUGGAGAAUCGGAGCGAGCUCGUGUUCAUGUUAUGUCAUACCAAACGCUUCCGCUAGCUUGUUCAAAUGUUUUUGGUCCAAAAUUUUUUGUAUUGGUUUUUAGUAGUAUCUUGUUGAGCGAAUUGUAGAAUUAUAUCUAGUUUGAUUAUGAAUAAAACAGGGGUAUGCUCGUUUUACGGACGGGUCAUGCCCAAAUUUUGUUAAAAUUAAUGCAUAUGUUAUUGAUAUCA